rnacentral:tRNA from 1 species
AGUAAAAUGGCUGAGGGUAUAAGCGAUAAAUUGUAAAUUUAUUAACGAAAUUAAUUUUCUUUUACUA